rnacentral:rRNA from 1 species
CACGUAGGGGGCAAGCGUUGUCCGGAUUUAUUGGGCGUAAAGAGCUCGUAGGCGGCUCGGUAAGUCAGGUGUCAAAUCCUCAGGCUCAACCUGGGGCUCCACCUGAUACUGCUGUGGCUAGAGUCCGGUAGGGGAGCGUGGAAUUCCUGGUGUAGCGGUGAAAUGCGCAGAUAUCAGGAGGAACACCAGCGGCGAAGGCGGCGCUCUGGGCCGGAACUGACGCUGAGGAGCGAAAGCGUGGGUAGCAAACAGG